CUUUUUUCUUUUUUCUUUUUUUUUUUUUUUUAAAGUAAGCAGCUGACAGGAGAAACAUGAGCAAUAAACAGCAGCAAGUAAAAUUAUGAUGCAUAUGCACAUAUGUGCUGGAACACAGAGUGACUAGAGUGGGGGUUGAAAAUUUGUAACAAAAAACAUUUUUGGAUCAUCUAUGCAGCAAUAGUAGACAUCAGAUGCUAUACCUCCAAAAUCAUACUUGAAAAAUUAGUCUCAGAUGGGUUUGAAAUGAGCACUGUCUCAUGGAUUUAAAAUUGUCUGACAAACUAUAAAUGAAGGGUAAUGAUAGAUGGUGAGAUAUUGAGCCUAGGGGGAAAAAAGAAGCAAUGCAAAUGUUUAAGCACCAGAACAUUUUGACUGAUGAGAAGCAUUUAUGAGAAUUAUGUAAUGUCUCUGAACAUUAAGACCUCAUUGUGGCCUUCCUGUACUUGAAGGGAACGUAUAAACAGGAAGGGGAAUGGCUGUUUAUGAGGGCAGAGAUUGGUAGGACAAGGGGGAAUGGUUUUAAACUGAGACAGGGGAUGUUUAGGUUGGAUAUUAGGAGGAAGUUUUUCACACAGAGGGUGGUAAUGCACUGGAACAGGUUCCCCAAGAAGGCUGUGGAUGUCCCAUUCUUUGAAGGCAUUCAAGGUCAGGCUGGAUGUGGCUCUGGGCUGCCUGGUCUGGUGGUUGGCGAACCUGCACAUAGUAGGGGAGUUGAAACUCAAUGAUCACUGUGGUCCUUCUCAACUGAGGCCAUUCUAUGAUAUGAUUCUAUGAUUGACCAAGGGUGGUAUGGCAACCACCACCAUGCCGGGAGAAGAACUUAGAAGAGUGGGCUGAGAGAAUAAUCUGACAUAAAUAUUAGAAACUUCUAAUAAUACUCAUUAUUUCUAAAGAAAAAAGGCCUGAAGUAAGGCAACCGUUUUAAGUUAGGUAUAGUCUCCUGGAAGAAAACUUGCAUAAUCAAUAGAGUGGUUUUACAGUUUUUGAUGUCAAGAAACAAUAUGGACAUUUAAAGAUGGGAAAGGUGAGACAGGAAGCUUCAUUAUAUAGUAUGAAAUGGCAUGACUUUUAUUCUAUAGCUCAGUUGCUAGAAUAAAAAACCUGGUCACUUUUUGCAUGCGUAUCAUUAAAUUUUCGCUAUUCUAAAAUUAGUAGUUCUGACUUAUAUUACUGGUCAUUACUACCACGUGAGCAAGAAAUUAACCUUUGUGCAUUCCACUGGCCAUGUAUACCCAUGUGGCCAUCAUCCCUUUUCUGUCCUGUAGAAAUACCAGGCUGUCUGCACAGCAGAGGAAUCAUCUGUAACCACAAAGGACAACUGCAGGAUUUAACUCAGAAAAGCAGAUGAAAGAAAGAAUGAGCGUGAAUUGAUUAGUCAUGUCAUAAUUUGGUAAGUACAUUGACCCUUCCGUGUGUUUCUUAAUCCACAUUUAUAAAUAAUUGCAUUCCACACCCUCUGUUUUCUUCAUAUUAUUGUGUUGCCAGCUUAAAAACACUAGCGCUUAAAAAGAAACUAAUAUUAUUAAAGCUCACAUUUGCUGUAUACUCCAUUAACGUAUACUGCUGUGUUUCAAAUAAGUAUAGUAAGAUAACAUUGGUUACGAUCUAGCAGGGCCUUCACAACCUAAGGACUUUUCCAAACAUAGCAGGUAGCUGUGAUCCCAGCCUACAAGUGCUAUCAAGGUGAUGGUAUCUAGGAGUCACAACUACUUUUACUGUUUAAAAACUACAGUAAAAACAAAUCAAUACACUGACUGAGGCUACUUCUCAGAAAGAGGAAAACAAAAAUACAAAGGUGAAGAUUUCAGAAGGUAGAUUAGUAACCAUUACAUGGCAGCCUAUGGCUAUUUUUUAUCCUCGGCUGCACUUCCUGAAUUCUGCUAGGUUAUACUGCAGCAUCCUUUAUUGAUUCAAACAUUCUUAAUUUCCAUUAUAAUAAUAGGAGUUUGUUCAAACUUAAAAUAAGUACAAUAGGAUCACAGGUUACGCUUCCCACUGUCAUACUAACUAGAUGUUUUUCUUAUCGUGCUUUAAAAAAUAAAUGACUCCAACUUCCAAUCCAUCAAAAGAGUUACAAAAAUACAGCAGUGGAUUUGAAAAAUUCCUUUAACUAGUCAAAAAUAAAAAUUAGCUAAUAUACCAUAAAAGCUGGGCUUUUUUAUUUUUUAUUCCCCCCCUCCUCACUACAUGAGAGUCUGUUAUCAUUACUAACUGGAAUUUUAGCCUCAAGAGGGUACUAAUGCUGCCAGAAGAUUAAUUUUUCAGUUCCUGAAACCAACCACAAAGAGACUAAAUAACAAGCAUAUUUAAAAGCCAAACAGGGAAUCUGACUGCUUUUCUUUCAAAAUCUCUAUAAAAAUCAGCCACUACUGAAAAGCUUUUAUUCACUAAUAAUUUGUAUAAACAAUGCAAAUUUCCAAUGGCCUAAAGCUGAUAAAGGGCUAGGCUCAUGAAACUCAGCUCAGUCUCCAAAUAUGUUUGGUUUUCACUCUGUCAUUGUUUUGCUACUUGACUGGGCACAAAAUGGGCUAGAAGGUUAUUUCCUACCACGGUCUGCAGGGGAAUUCUCUCUUUGAGGUCAUCAGUACCGCUGACACCUCCCAUGAGUCUGGAGAUGCCAGCUCAGGUUUUGGGAUGGCUGUACAAAACCCGCAUAUCAACCACAGAUUUUCUUAUGCAGGAAACACAAUGCUACUCAGAAAGGCAGUUUUUUUUUUUUUUCUGCCAGCUGUGAGCUGUGCCUUCACCAUAGCCUACUAACGAAGUACCUUUUCCUCACAGUUUCAUCCAUUGUAAUACAUUGCUAUUAAGUGUUUUACAUUCAGCCCUCCUAUUCUUCUGUAUUUGCUGUUCUGUUUCUUCCCCCUUUUUAAUGAAUUUCUUUCAGUCACGCAGUUAGAGUCUACUAUCUUGCAUGAAGUCAGAGAACUGUACUUCAAUAAAUCACACACAGCUGCCCAUACCAGACACUUAAGUUUUGCAAUAAGCCUGUCUGCAAGCCUUCUGUAUUUGAGAGAAUUCUUUUUGGACAGCUCCGUCUUACAGUAGAAAUCAUAGAAUCACCAAGGUUGGAAAAGAUCCACAGGAUCACCCAGUCCAACCAUCCACCCAUCACCAAUGGUUCUCACUAAACCAUGUCCCUCAACACAACGUCCAAACGUUCCUUGAACACCUCCAGGGCCGAUGACUCCACCACCUCCCUGGGCAGCCCAUUCCAGUGCCGGACCACCCUUUCAGAGAAGUAGUAUUUCCUAAUGUCCAGCCUGAACCUUCCCUAGCACGGCUUGAAGCCAUAGAUCAAUCACUGUUGUUUUUGGAGCUUCUCUGCUCCUGCGGGAUUCCACAGAAAGAGUCUUCAACUGACACUUACAGGGGCUAUCUGACACUGAGGCGGACAGAGCAGCCACCAGAGCACCUUGCACCAGAGCCCAGCAAGAUAGGCAGUAAAAACCUGCUGGGGAAGCAGGAGGUGUAUCACCAUGCUGUGAAAUAUCCUGAGGACUUUCUUCAUCAAGCAUACCUUCAGGCAAGGAUGAAGUCACACAUCAUUUAAAUGUUGUUUCACACUUUGUUUUGGGUCAUCUAAUCAGUUUAUUUAGUCUGUUCUAAUCUGUAUUUCUGAAAAGUAUCAAAAUACGAAGAGUGUCAUGAAAAGACCAUUCCCACAAAAGGGCUAUAUCUUGGAGGUUUUGGAUUUGUUCAUACACACACAUCUCUUUCAUCUCAGUAGGGGUUUGAAAAAGCAGCCAAAAAAAAAAAUGUUUCUGCUAACUAGUAUCUGAUCAUUUUAAACAGGAAUCAAUAGCUUUGUUUUCUUACCUUCACAAUUUGGCAGCCAUUUUCAAGAAAGAAGUAUGUGUUGAUGUGGGACUCGGUAGCAGCUUGCAAAUAAUCCUGGAGAAGAAAGGAAAUUUAAUUUCAUACCCUUAGUGUAAUAGGAUGCUGAACAACACAAGGACAGUGAAACCUCCACUGCAGGUAACAACAAACCCCAAGUCCUUUACUUGCCAAAGCUUUUGUUUGCCAAUUUCAUUUUUCCAUUAAGCAAACAGUAGCUCUGCCAUUUGAGUGAUCUUUCAUCUUUCUUUUUUUCCUGCAGUACUGAUGUUUGUUCCCAGGUAUGAUAUGAAUUGCCAAAGUGCUGUCUCAUAGGGUUGCUAACAAAGUCUGCCACUGCUCCCCUGCCAAGCAGUGCUCUGGCACAGGUGCAGAACAGCCCACAAAUGGCUGCCUUGCUGCUGCUUAGAGCCUGGCCCUCCUGUUAAGCCUCAGAGUCUGUGAAAUAUUAAGGCUACUGAGAUUAUGGGUAUUCUCAAGGUCAUACAAGAAGGGGCAAAGCAGAUUUCCUUAUUAAUGAGAUUUGGGAAACAAGAGUCUGCUCCUGCUUAAACAUUGUUGGUUUUUUGUCACAGAAGAAAGGGAUUUUUAUUUUCAAAACACCACUGCAACUUCUUCCAUUGUAAAACAUUGUCCAGAAGGAACUUGAUUUCCUUGUACUGCCAGACCCUGUUAAAAAGGAGGCUUAAGUAUAUGCUAAGGAGGAUCACAAAUAGCCUACAAAAUCUCUCUGCAUGUGAAAGUGAUACGAAUGACUCAGAGAAACAUCAGUCAGACGGAAAAAAAAUGGUUCAAAUAUCUGUAUAGGCCUGCAUGCAGGGCCUAAAGUAGUUUUAAUUUCCAUGAAACAUAAAAUGGAAGUGUAGACAUGCACUUCAUUUUCUCAGCAAGCUCUCAAUGAUAACAGCAAUUCAUAAGCCUUGUCACUUGGAGCUAUACAUACAGAAGUGAAUUCUAGUCACUCAAGAGCUAAAAAACAGCGUCACAGACAAAAGCCACCUUUACCAGAAAACUUUUCUUUUCCCUCCAUCAUUAGAGAGAACGUGUCUUUAAAAAGCUGAAUUUUGAGCCCUUGCACAGAGCAAAUAAAAAAAUAUAAUGGUUAUACAGGGAAAGCAACUUGUAAGGGGGUAAAAAAAAAAAAAAAAAAAAAAAAAAA
ensembl:lncRNA